GUUCAAUCAUGGGUCCCCUUGACCGCUGGAACUGGCCCCACUUGUCAAACCCAGUGGGUCCUGGUCUCAUUACCAGGUCCUGGAGGAGAGUGUUGGCCAGACCACCACGUCGUCCCUCGUGUCCGUGUGCUCGGGCCCCCGCCUCUUCUGCAGUGUGGAUGACGGCAGCGGCUUUGCCUUCCUGGAGCAGAUCAUCUCCUUGUGGGCCCAGGAAGGCGUUCACAAUGGCAGUGAGGUCUUGCAGGUGUGGGCCUGUCACGUGGCUGCCCCAGCAGAGGUGUCUGGGUGGGAGGAUUGGGGGGAGAUGCUGCCCAUGAGGGAGGCUGGACAGAGAACCUCAGACACAGGCCUCAUGGAGGGAAGGCCCCUCAUCAUCACUUUUUGCUUUAUUUUUUGAUAUCAAUAUGUAGGACCUCUUAACUUAGAAACAUAAUAAGUAAACAGCAGAGAAAGCCCACAGCCUGAAACAAAUCCUUUAGAGGUAGGUUUCAGUAUCUCAGACUCAUCCUGCAGUAUGUGUCGGCCUCCGAGCCGAUCCUCGGUCCUGGAGGGCUAGAGGGCCUCUUACUGACUGCAGCACGUGGGCGUGGACACCAGGAGGCGCCGCCCACACGUGUCAUGCGGUUUUUCUAAUCUGGAAGCUGCUGCCCAGACCUCUUUGUCCUCUGCUCCCUCCGUGAUUUCAUUGCUGAGAAGUGUGCUCUCAGCUUGUUGUGGCGGCAGCUUCCUGGUCACUCCGCACGCUUUAGCGUCCUGUCAUUUUUCUCCCAGAAGCCCUCAGGGCUGUAGAGAAGUGUGGAGAUUCAAGUCCCCUCUCCCGCUUUACAGGAAGGGCUUCCCCAUGGGCCCUGCCACGUGCCUGCCCCACCCGUGUGUCUGCAACUUGUAGUCACAAGCACCAGUCACUGAGAGAGCAGCCACGGCACCAGUGUUAUCACUAGGCCACCAGCAGGUGCGCGGGCGUUCCCAGCCUACUCUUUAUCUUACUGUGGUAGAAUACAGAAAGCACAGUUUUCCUGUUCUUUUAACUUUACCUUCCCCAAUCCUGAGGGGGAAUGGUUGUGACUCUCAGAAAUGCUUGGCUGUGGCUCAUCGCUCUAUCAAUCCUUUCCACCAACAGAACCCACAUUGUUCCUAUGUCUGUUCGUGCUAUUUAGAGAUGUAUUAAGGAUUCUUUGUGUUUGAAAUGGCAAGAACUCAACUCAAACUUGGCAAGAGGAGGACAUCUUUGUGACCAGCUGGGGAAGAAGGAGGAUGUUUAGGCCUGGGGGUCCCAGCUCUAGGGGUUGUCAGGACUCUCCUGGCCUCUGGGUCUUGGCUUCAGGUCUAGCACCCUUGCAUGGCUCCCCAGGACCUUGUGGUCUAUACAACACUUGAUUGGACAGAGGAAAAGCCCUUCUCCAGCCUCCCUAUCAAUCUCCAAAGUCCUCUGCUUGCAUAUGCCCCCUUCUGUGUCUGUCCCUUUGUCCAAGAAGGGGGACUCUGUCCAGCCUGGGUCAUGCCCGCCUCGGAGGCAGGGACACUGAGGGGAGGAUCUGUAUGUUGACAGUGGGAGGGGGACAUCAGUGUUGACAGGGACCUGGGGAGAGGUACCCCAGAGGGAUGGGAGCAGGGGAGAGGCUCCAUUCAAGAGGUGGAGACUUUGCAGACAGAAAAGGAUGGUACUGGGACAGUGAGGUCUGGGCCAGCAAAUGUCUGAAGACCCAUUCACCCUGCCUGCCUGAUGGGCCUUUCUGUUUUCAGAGCCUUGACUUCAGUGUGGACGAGAAGGUGAACCUUUUGGAGCUGACCUGGGCCCUGGAGACUGAGCUCAUGGUGGUGGGCGGGGCCGCCCAGCAGGCAGCCUUGGCCUGCUACCACCAGGAGCUGAGCUUUUGCCAGUAAGAGCCCUGCUGUGGGGGCCGUGUGGGGCCGCUGGCCAGGCUGGCCUCCUCGCCCAGGACAUGGGCAGCCUGCGGGAGGAGAAAGGCUGCUUCCAGCAUGGUCACAAAGCACGGCAUGGAGAUUGGGCCCAGAAUGCGAUCCUUUUUAAUUGGGUUUGGCUCCAGUUGAGCUGGAUAUUCAGGCCAUCCGUCUACUGAGCCUGUUGGCACAGAGAUUGUUAUUGUAUUUUUAUUGAUGUGCUGAAGCUACAGAAAAGGUUGGCAGUAAUUCCAGUAUCCAUCCUCACGACUUCGCAUCUCGUUACGUACCUAGGUACCGACAGAUGAGACCUCUAACGUCAGGCAACUCUGCAGAGGGGCCCAAAGGAAGACUGCUUUGGGAGGAUGAGGAAGGGAGACAAGCUUGGUGCUUCUCCAGUUGGAGAAACAGGCAUCAGGAUAGCUGGUGCACUGAGCCUCAGGCAGGGCCUGGGGUGACCAGACAGAGAGAGGAGUCUCCUCUGCUCUGGGCAGCUCGCUGGCACUUAGAUGCCAGGCUACAGUUGGCAAGGCUGUGACCAGGCAGGAUAAUGGGUGGCCAGCCUUCUCCCCUUCAUGCGUCCAGUCCCAGGUUAGGUGCUGGGGAUUCCUGGGGCCUGAGGCCCAGCUGCAGGCAAGAGGGAGCGUGGAUAAUUUCCCACCUCUUCUAAGGCCGUCUGGAAGGGUGAACACUGCAAGCCCCAGGCUCGAACCUCUUGGUUCAGAAACCUGCUAGAAACCCCACUGCAAGCCAGUUGGCUUCUUGCUGUAUGUACUUCUGUAAAACAGACUCAAUAACUGCAGAAAGCAUCCUGGUAGGAGGAGGGUCAGGCUUCCCAGGUCACGCUAGUUGUAAAGAACCCACUUGUCAAUGCUAGUGCAACCCGCUUGCCAAUGCAAGAGGCGUGAGAGAUGCGAGUUCCAUUCCUGUGUUAGGAAGAUCCCCUGGAGGAGGGCAUGACAGCCCAGUUUAGUAUUCUUGCCUGGAGAAUGCCAUGGACUGAGGAGCCUGGAGGGCUACAGUCCAUAGGAUUGCAUAGAGUCGGACAUGACUGCAGCGACUUGGCACGCAUGCACAGGAGGUGGGUCAGAGCCCAGCGCUGGCCACUGCUCAGCACUCUUAGGCCAGCUGAGUUUGUUCCUUCAGACCAGCUCGCGAGGCCCAGAGCAGUGUCCCCAGUGAUCCUUCCCUCCUUGCUGCAGGGAGCAGGUGGAGCAGAUGGCCAGGGAGCGAGAUAAGGCAAGGCAAGACCUGGAGAAAGCUGAGCAGAGGAACCUGGAGUUUGUGAAGAAGACGGACGACCCGCACUCUGCCCUGGAGCAGCUCGCAGAGGAGGUCAGGUUUCGCCAACUGAUUUCUGCGUAUAAGAAAAAGACAUCUGAAACUUCUGCAAAUAGCAACACAGUGGUUGAAAGUUCUGAAGAGGACUCAUCAAGGAGGUUUCCCAACAAACCUGGCGUUGAUUUAGGGCCUACAUCAAACAACGAAGUCUUAGAUUUUAAAACCAAGCAUGUCUUGAAAUCAAAGUUACCGAAGCUAAUGAAGGCUUCUCAGCAAUCCAAGAGAAACAUAGAAGCAACAUGUGGCAUUUUGAGACCAGAGAGUACAACUUUGUCAGAGGACAGUAAUUCUGACAGUAACAUUGAAGACAUGGUUGGAACAUUUCCCAAACCAUCUCCCUGGUUGGAGGGCAUUUGCCGUCCUGCCUUCCCAACACCUGAGCCUGUUUCAGAACUUCCCAAGUCUGCAGCAGGCCUCGGUCGUGCAAAGGUUUCUGAUAGUUGGGAAGAAGCACAAGACCUGUUGUGUGAAAUCCAAAUGCUGCAGGAUGAACUUGCCAUCCUGAGACUGGAGACAGAUGCACUGAAACGUCAGCACCGGGAAAAGGAAGAGAACUAUUGUGAGGACAUGGAAAUUCUCAAAGGAAAGAAUGAUGAUCUUCAAAGGGCGAGAAAACUGAGUGAGGAAAUGUUAACAGAGACUGUAUCCCACUAUACACGCCAGCUGAACGCUCUGACAGCCGAGAAUAGAAUGCUAACCUCCAAGCUGGAGAACGAAGAAGAAAGCAAACAAAGACUGGAAAGGGAAGUGGAAUCCUACAAUUCUAGACUGGCUGCUGCCUCACGCGAUCAUGAUCAAGGUCAGACAUCACAAAGAGACCUGGAACUUGCCUUCCAAAGAGCAGAAGACAAAAUGAAGUCCCAUAUGGCUAAUCUAAAAGAUAAGGCCGAGACAUUUUCCCAGCAGCUAUCUAUAGCGGAAAGUAAACUCAAUAAGCUGAAAAUCAAGCUGCAGCACAUGAUAGGUGAUCUUAGAGGAAAGACUUCGAUGUUAGAACGUGUCCAGAGAGACCUAAGCCAGAGUGUCAAAAGCAGGAAAUUGAACACAUGUAUCAGAACGAACACACCAAAGUGAAUGAAUACCUUGGAAAGCAAGAAUCCUUAGAAAAGAGAUUAUCUCAGCUCCAGAGUGAAAACGUGUUGCUCAGACAGCAGCUGGACGACGCACAAAGCAGAGCUGAUAGUAGAGAAAACAGUCAUGAGCGUCCAAGACCAGCUGCAGCAGAUCGCGAGAGAACUGCAGGCCGAACGUGAGAAGCGAGGUCUGAUGGAGGAAAGAAAUAAGCAGUUCAUCAAGGAGUAUAAUCGUUUCAAAGAGAGAAUGUGUCAGUACCAAAAAGAGAAAGCAGAAAGAGAAAUCCAACGGGAGUUGGACCAGGAGCAUAGCUGGAGAACAAAGAGAAGCUGUAUCCUUCUUCUACUUCCUCCAUCCCUGUGGAGCUGUCUU